rnacentral:tRNA from 1 species
GGGCCCUCGACAACUGCUCAGCGGUUGAGCACUCGCUUCACAAGCGAUAGGUCGGUGGUUCGAUCCCACCAGGGCGUA